GAGAAUGUUAUUGUUUCAAAAUCCAAAUCAGACUUUGAAACAUCAAUGGUUAUAUACAUAUUGUAAGAGGCCUAAUUUUGUUCGGGCCCUAAACCGAAACCAAAAAUAAAAAUAAAAAUUAACAGUCUCAAAGCUCAAUUACAUGUCAAGCUUAAAACAAAAACCUUAACUCAAAGUUACAAGCCCAAUGGCUCAAAACACUUAAAAAAUUUUAGAAAACAAAAAAACCCUAGGUCCUUUUGCGCCGCUUAUCCCUUAGCACGUGCACCGCCCAUUCUGCCACCGUUUCACCAAAAUAGCCAAAGGUCUGCCUCCCUGUCGCCGUUAACCGUAUUAGUACCUGCAAGAAAAGAGAAAGAAAAAGGACCAUGGAAGCAAAAAAAAAAAAAGCAAAGAACAGUGGCUAAAUAGUUGCAAAAAUAGUAAAAUAUAACAUGUAAAUUGGCUAUAAAAGCCGCAACAAUCCAUGUAAUUUAGGGUAGAAAAACGAGCAAUCGAAACAAAGGAGAAAGAAAAAUUCUAAAAAGGUGGUCUUUUUUAGAAAAAUUCUAAAAAGGUGGUUUUUUUUUCUUACACUAUUUUAUAUUUUUUGUAAAUAAACAUAAAAUAAAAAAUGAGUUGAAAACUUACUGUGCUCUUCACAUUUUGCCAUAGUGAGUGUCCGAGGACCGUCAUCUCUAAUGAAAGAUGACAUCUUUCGGUCUCGGGGAAUCAAACGGCACAAAAAGCAGCAAUUUUUGCACUUUUCGGCCACCGUGGAUGGCGGAGCUGUCGCCGGCGACCGGUUGCCGCCACGGCGGCCCAAUGGCCAGCCUGAGAAGGCUAAUGAGAG
rnacentral:lncRNA from 1 species